rnacentral:piRNA from 1 species
UGCACUUGGCCUGUAUCGCCUAUACACAGA